rnacentral:rRNA from 1 species
AUUGAACGCUGGCGGCAUGCCUUACACAUGCAAGUCGAACGGUAACAGGUCUUCGGAUGCUGACGAGUGGCGAACGGGUGAGUAAUACAUCGGAAUGUGCCUAGUAGUGGGGGAUAACUACUCGAAAGAGUGGCUAAUACCGCAUGAGAUCUACGGAUGAAAGCAGGGGAUCGCAAGACCUUGUGCUACUAGAGCGGCCGAUGGCAGAUUAGGUAGUUGGUGGGAUAAAAGCUUACCAAGCCGACGAUCUGUAGCUGGUCUGAGAGGACGAUCAGCCACACUGGGACUGAGACACGGCCCAGACUCCUACGGGAGUCAGCAGUGGGGAAUUUUGGACAAUGGGCGCAAGCCUGAUCCAGCAAUGCCGCGUGCAGGAUGAAGGCCUUCGGGUUAUAAACUGCUUUUGUACGGAACGAAAAGCCCUGGGUUAAUACCCUGGGGUCAUGACGGUACCGUAAGAAUAAGCACCGGCUAACUACGUGCCAGCCGCCGCCGUAAGAC